rnacentral:rRNA from 1 species
AUUGAACGCUGGCGGCAGGCUUAACACAUGCAAGUCGAGCGGUAACAGAGAGAAGCUUGCUUCUCUGCUGACGAGCGGCGGACGAGUGAGUAAUGCCUAGGAAUCUGCCUAGUAGUGGGGGAUAACUUGCCGAAAGGUAAGCUAAUACCGCAUACGUCCUACGGGAGAAAGGAGGGGACCUUCGGGCCUUUCGUUAUUAGAUGAGCCUAGGUCGGAUUAGUUAGUUGGUGAGGUAAUGGCUCACCAAGACCGCGAUCCGUAACUGGUCUGAGAGGAUGAUCAGUCACACUGGAACUGAGACACGGUCCAGACUCCUACGGGAGGCAGCAGUGGGGAAUAUUGGACAAUGGGGGGAACCCUGAUCCAGCCAUGCCGCGUGUGUGAAGAAGGUCUUAGGAUUGUAAAGCACUUUAAGUUGGGAGGAAGAGCAGUUAACUAAUAUUUGACUGUUUUGACGUUACCGACAGAAUAAGCACCGGCUAACUUCGUGCCAGCAGCCGCCGUAA